AGAGUUUGAUCCUGGCUCAGGAUGAACGCUAGCGACAGGCCUAACACAUGCAAGUCGAGGGGCAGCGAAGAGGUAGCAAUACCUCUGUCGGCGACCGGCGCACGGGUGAGUAACACGUAUGCAAUCCACCUGUAACAGGGGGAUAACCCGGAGAAAUCCGGACUAAUACCCCAUAAUAUGGGCGCUCCGCAUGGAGAGUUCAUUAAAGAGAGCAAUUUUGGUUACAGACGAGCAUGCGCUCCAUUAGCCAGUUGGCGGGGUAACGGCCCACCAAAGCGACGAUGGAUAGGGGUUCUGAGAGGAAGGUCCCCCACAUUGGAACUGAGACACGGUCCAAACUCCUACGGGAGGCAGCAGUGAGGAAUAUUGGUCAAUGGUCGGCAGACUGAACCAGCCAAGUCGCGUGAGGGAAGACGGCCCUACGGGUUGUAAACCUCUUUUGUCGGAGAGUAAAGUACGCUACGUGUAGCGUAUUGCAAGUAUCCGAAGAAAAAGCAUCGGCUAACUCCGUGCCAGCAGCCGCGGUAAUACGGAGGAUGCGAGCGUUAUCCGGAUUUAUUGGGUUUAAAGGGUGCGUAGGCGGCACGCCAAGUCAGCGGUGAAAUUUCCGGGCUCAACCCGGACUGUGCCGUUGAAACUGGCGAGCUAGAGUGCACAAGAGGCAGGCGGAAUGCGUGGUGUAGCGGUGAAAUGCAUAGAUAUCACGCAGAACCCCGAUUGCGAAGGCAGCCUGCUAGGGUGCGACAGACGCUGAGGCACGAAAGCGUGGGUAUCGAACAGGAUUAGAUACCCUGGUAGUCCACGCAGUAAACGAUGAAUACUAACUGUUUGCGAUACAAUGUAAGCGGUACAGCGAAAGCGUUAAGUAUUCCACCUGGGGAGUACGCCGGCAACGGUGAAACUCAAAGGAAUUGACGGGGGCCCGCACAAGCGGAGGAACAUGUGGUUUAAUUCGAUGAUACGCGAGGAACCUUACCCGGGCUUAAAUUGCAACUGACUGAAUCGGAAACGGUUCUUUCUUCGGACAGUUGUGAAGGUGCUGCAUGGUUGUCGUCAGCUCGUGCCGUGAGGUGUCGGCUUAAGUGCCAUAACGAGCGCAACCCCUAUGGACAGUUACUAACGGGUGAAGCCGAGGACUCUGUCGAGACUGCCGGCGCAAGCCGCGAGGAAGGUGGGGAUGACGUCAAAUCAGCACGGCCCUUACGUCCGGGGCGACACACGUGUUACAAUGGCAGGUACAGAAGGCAGCCAGUCAGCAAUGACGCGCGAAUCCCGAAAACCUGUCUCAGUUCGGAUUGGAGUCUGCAACCCGACUCCAUGAAGCUGGAUUCGCUAGUAAUCGCGCAUCAGCCAUGGCGCGGUGAAUACGUUCCCGGGCCUUGUACACACCGCCCGUCAAGCCAUGGAAGC
rnacentral:rRNA from 1 species